rnacentral:misc_RNA from 1 species
UUUCCGUAGGUGAACCUGCGGAAGGAUCAUUAAUAAAUGGUCUACUUUUUUAAGUAGACGCUAAUAAUCCUACCUUUGUGAAUUUGUUGUUUUGAAAUAAUUUUUUAAAAUUAUUGAUUGUCUUUCCUGUUGAAUUGGUGUCUUAAUGGCAAAUGAUUCGCAGGGAGUGUCAGUAAUUUUUAAAAAGACCUUUUUAAAAUUAACUUUUUGUAUUCAUUUGUCUAAAAUUAUUUUUAUAAUAUAAAACAACUUUUGACAAUGGAUCUCUUGGUUCUCGCACGAUGAAGAACGCAGCAAAAUGCGAUAAGUAGUGUGAAUUGCAGAAUACGUGAUCAUCGAAUCUUCGAACGCAUAUUGCACUUUUUUAGUUUACUAAAAAGUAUGUCUGUUUGAGUAUCAGUAAAUAUUCUCAUAAAAACUUUUGUUUUAUGGUUAUGAGUGUUUUACAACGAUACAAGUUGUUUCACUUUAAAUUUUUUUAAAAUUUGAAUUUUUCUAAUUUUAAAAUAAAAUUGGAUAAAUUUUCCGUAAAAAGGAAUAACCUAACAAUUUAAUUUUGAUUAGAAUUCUUCAAUUAUAAGGAAAAUUUAACUAAAUAACUUGAUCUCAAAUCAGAUAAGAGUACCCGCUGAACUUAAGCAUAUCAUAAGCGGAGGAAAAGAAACUAACAAGGAUUCCCUUAGUAACGGCGAGUGAAGCGGAAGAGCUCAAAUUUGAAAUCUUCAAGGUUUUACCUUGACGAAUUGUAGUUUAAAGAAGUGUUUUCUGUUGAAGUUUUGGUAAAAGUUCUUUGGAAUAGGACAUCAUAGAGGUGAGAUCCCGUAUUUGACCAUAUUUUCAGCUGUGUGAUACACUUUCAAAGAGUCGGAUUGUUGGAAGCAGUCCAAAUGGUGGUAAAUUUCAUCUAAGCUAAAUAUUGGCGAGAGACCGAUAGCGAACAAGUACCGUGAGGGAAAGAUGAAAGAACUUUGAAAAGAGAGUUAAACAGUACGUGAAUUGUCAAAAGGAAGCGUUGACACCAGUGUUGUUUUCUCGAAAAUCAAUUAAAAAAGUUGGAUUUUGUGUUGUAUGACCUUAACACUUGCUUCACUCUUUUCUUGCUUUUUUUAAUGCACUUUCGUUUAACAAGUCACAUCAGUUUCUUUUGUGUAAAAGGGCCAUUGGAAGGUGGCUUUCUCUUCGGAGAAAGUGUUUAUAGCCUUUGAUCUCUGCAAUCGGAGAGACUGAGGUCUGCAGCGUAGAUCCUUCGGGGUUAGAUACAUUUGUGCUAAGCUACAGCUUUUCAUAGACAACUUGUUGAUAUGUUUAGUCUUGUAAUUACCGCUUAUGCUAUUU